rnacentral:rRNA from 1 species
UACGUAGGGGGCUAGCGUUGUCCGGAUUUAUUGGGCGUAAAGAGCGUGUAGGCGGCCAUGUAGGUCCGGUGUGAAAACUCGAGGCUUAACCUCGAGAUGUCAUCGGAAACCAUUUGGCUAGAGUCCGGAAGAGGAGAGUGGAAUUCCUGGUGUAGCGGUGAAAUGCGCAGAUAUCAGGAAGAACACCAAUGGCGAAGGCGAGUCUCUGGACAUUUCCUGACGCUGAGGCACGAAAGCCAGGGGAGCAAACGGG